GGGGAGGCAGGUAGCCUAGUGGUUAGAGGGGAGGCAGGUAGCCUAGUGGUUAGAGGGGAGGCAGGUAGCCUAGUGGUUAGAGGGGAGGCAGGUAGCCUAGUGGUUAGAGGGGAGGCAGGUAGCCUAGUGGUUAGAGGGGAGACAGGUAGCCUGGUGGUUAGAGGAGAGGCAGGUAGCCUAGUGGUUAGAGGAGGCAGGUAGCCUAGUGGUUAGAGGGGAGGCAGCUAGCCUAGUGGUUAGAGGGGAGGCAGCUAGCCUAGUGGUUAGAGGGGAGGCAGGUAGCCUAGUGGUUAGAGGAGGCAGGUAGCCUAGUGGUUAGAGGAGGCAGGUAGCCUAGUGGUUAGAGGAGGCAGGUAGCCUAGUGGUUAGAGGGGCGGCAGGUAGCCUAGUGGUUAGAGGGGAGGCAGGUAGCCUAGUGGUUAGAGGAGGCAGGUAGCCUAGUGGUUAGAGGAGGCAGGUAGCCUAGUGGUUAGAGGGGCGGCAGGUAGCCUAGUGGUUAGAGGAGGCAGGUAGCCUAGUUGUUAGAGGAGGCAGGUAGCCUAGUGGUUAGAGGAGGCAGGUAGCCUAGUUGUUAGAGGAGGCAGGUAGCCUAGUGGUUAGAGGAGGCAGGUAGCCUAGUGGUUAGAGGGGGUAGGUAGCCUAGUGGUUAGAG
rnacentral:lncRNA from 1 species